UAGGGAAUUUUCGUCAAUGGGCGCAAGCCUGAACGAGCGAUGCCGCGUGAGUGAAGAAGGCCUUCGGGUCGUAAAGCUCUGUUGCGGGGGAAAAAAGGGACAUCUGCAGGAAAUGGUAGAUGACAGAUGGUGCCCCGCCAGAAAGUCACGGCUAACUACGUGCC
rnacentral:rRNA from 1 species